UUGCGCUCGCAGAGUAUACCAGUUUACUGGUAUACGAAGCGAAGACAAUCACAACGGACCCAAUCAACCCCGGCUAGGGAAGAGACGGCGAGGGAAAAUCGAAUGAAGUGCUGGAGUACACGAGCGGCGGACGGCUGAGUAACGCGUAGGAACGUACCCCAAACUGAGGGAUAAGCACCAGAAAUGGUGUCUAAUACCGCAUGUGCUCUAAGGAGUAAAGCUUCGGCGGUUUGGGAACGGCCUGCGUACGAUUAGAUUGUUGGUGAGGUAAUGGCUCACCAAGUCGACGAUCGUUAGCUGGUCUGAGAGGAUGAUCAGCCAGACUGGGACUGAGAACGGCCCAGACUCCUACGGGAGGCAGCAGUAGGGAAUUUUCCACAAUGGACGAAAGUCUGAUGGAGCAACGCCGCGUGCAGGAUGAAUGCCUUCGGGUUGUAAACUGCUUUUAUCUGUGACGAAUAUGACGGUAGCAGAUGAAUAAGGAUCGGCUAACUCCGUG
rnacentral:rRNA from 1 species